rnacentral:rRNA from 1 species
ACUCCUACGGGAGGCAGCAGUGGGGAAUAUUGCACAAUGGGGGGAAACCCUGAUGCAGCCAUGCCGCGUGUGUGAAGAAGGCCUUCGGGUUGUAAAGCACUUUCAGUAGGGAGGAAGGUAGUGUAGUUAACACCUGCACUAUUUGACGUUACCUACAGAAGAAGCACCGGCUAACUCCGUGCCAGCAGCCGCGGUAAUACGGAGGGUGCGAGCGUUAAUCGGAAUUACUGGGCGUAAAGCGCAUGCAGGCGGCCUGUUAAGUCAGAUGUGAAAGCCCGGGGCUUAACCUCGGAAUUGCAUUUGAAACUGGCAGGCUAGAGUCUUGUAGAGGGGGGUAGAAUUUCAGGUGUAGCGGUGAAAUGCGUAGAGAUCUGAAGGAAUACCAGUGGCGAAGGCGGCCCCCUGGACAAAGACUGACGCUCAGAUGCGAAAGCGUGGGGGAGCAAACA